rnacentral:rRNA from 1 species
GAUGAACGCUGGCGGCGUGCUUAACACAUGCAAGUCGAACGGAAAGGCUCCUGCUUGCAGGGGUACUCGAGUGGCGAACGGGUGAGUAACACGUGGGUGAUCUGCCCUGCACUUCGGGAUAAGCCUGGGAAACUGGGUCUAAUACCGGAUAGGACGAUGGUUUGGAUGCCAUUGUGGAAAGUUUUUCGGUGUGGGAUGAGCUCGCGGCCUAUCAGCUUGUUGGUGGGGUAAUGGCCUACCAAGGCGUCGACGGGUAGCCGGCCUGAGAGGGUGUACGGCCACAUUGGGACUGAGAUACCGCCCAGACUCCUAAGGGAGGCAGGAGGGGGGAAUAAUGCACAAUGGGCGCAAGCCUGAUGCAGCGACGCCGCGUGGGGGAUGACGGCCUUCGGGUUGUAAACUCCUUUCGCUAGGGACGAAGCGCAAGUGAAGGUACCUGGAGAAGAAGCACCGGCUAACUACGUG